rnacentral:rRNA from 1 species
GCCAGCAGUUGCGGUUAUACAAAUAAUAUAAUUUAAUUUUAUUAAUAAAAAUUAAUUUUAUUAAAAAAUUUUUAUUUAAAAUUUUUUAAGUGAAAUUUUAAAUUUUAAGGAUAAAUUUUAAUUUUUAAAUGAGGUUUAUAAGUUUAAUUAAUAAACUAGGAUUAGAUACCCUAUUAUUUUAAAUGUAAUUAAAAAUAUUAAAUUAGUAUUAGUUAUGUUCUUAAAAAUUAAAAAUUUUGGCGGUAUUUUAGUCUUUUCAGAGGAACCUGUUCUGUAAAUGAUAAUCCACGAUUUAAUUUAUUUAUAUUAUUAAUUUGUAUAUCAUCGUAAUUAAGUAUUUUAUUAAAAUUAUUAAUAUUUAAGAUUUUAAAUUAAAAAAUUAAUCAGAUCAAGGUGCAAUUUAUAUAUAAGUAGAAAUGGGUUACAAUAAAAAUAUUUUUGGAAAAUUUUUUUUAUUAAGAAAUUUGAAUUUGGAUUUGAUAGUAAUUUUAAUAAAUUAAUUAAUUUGAUUUUGGCUC